rnacentral:rRNA from 1 species
CCUACGGGUGGCAGCAGUGGGGAAUAUUGCACAAUGGGGGAAACCCUGAUGCAGCGACGCCGCGUGAGCGAAGAAGUAUCUCGGUACGUAAAGCUCUAUCAGCAGGGAAGAACAUGACGGUACCUGACUAAGAAGCCCCGGCUAACUACGUGCCAGCAGCCGCGGUAAUACGUAGGGGGCAAGCGUUAUCCGGAUUUACUGGGGGAAAAGGGAGCGUAGACGGGAGCACAAGUCUGGAAGGAAAUCCCGGGGCUUAACCCCGGAACUGCUUUGGAAACUGGGCGGCUGGAGUGCAGGAGGGGUAAGCGGAAUUCCAAGUGAAGCGGUGAAAUGCGUAGAUAUAAGGAGGAACACCGGAGGCGAAGGCAGCUUACUGGACUGAAACUGACGUUGAGGGUCGAAAGCGUGGGGAGCAAACAGGAUUAGAUACCCUUGUAGUC